GCAGAUGUGGCUCAGUGGUUGAGUGUCGACCCAUGAACCAAGAGGUCCCUGGUUUGAUUCCAGGCAAAUGCC
rfam:Myotis brandtii contig166917, whole genome shotgun sequence.